CUGGGACAUGACAGUGAGUCAGGCUGGGUAUCUGUGUCCAUGGUGAUCCAGGUACGUUGAAGGAAAUGGACAGGCAAACUCAAAACUACAACCCAAUAAGAGAUAUGCCUGAAAUGCUGCAUAAGACACCUCCAAUAGGUCUCCCAAUACAGCUUUUAGGUGAGACCUCUGAGAUGGCUUCCUGGAGACAGGACUUACUAGCAGUGUGACCUUAGAGUAUAUCUUGGAAAGAUGAAGACUUGAAGAAGUUGGCACUCCCACUGUUCUGUCCACUGGGUGGAUGAUGGAGGAGAACACUUACACUGUCCCAGUACUGCACACUCCAGACUCAGUCUCAGCUUCACCAAGCUUACAGAUGGAUAAAACAAUCACACAAACAAGGACUGAAUGCACAAUUGAGAUGGAACACAGGCCCAUUCAGAGACUUGGAUCCCCGUUCCCACGUCUUUUGCAUGAGAAGGACACACAUACAUCAUAGAAGAAGGCAUGCGAGCAGGUCAUCUGUCUUGGGGGAGCUGAUCAGGAAAAGGAAA